AUUGAACGCUGGCGGCAGGCCUAACACAUGCAAGUCGAGCGAGCGGCGCACGGGUGAGAAAAGUAUGGGGACUGCCCGUGAGAGGGGGAGAACUAUUGGAAACGCUGUCUAAUACACCAUAUUGCCGGAGUAUCCACAUGGGAUUGGCUAGUAGGUAGGGUAAUGGCUUACCUAGGCGACGAUCCCUAUCUGGUCUGAGAGGAUGAUCAGCCACACUGGGACUGAGACACGGCCCAGACUCCUACGGAGGCAGCAGUGGGGAAUAUGGCACAAUGGGCGCAAGCCUGAUGCAGCCAUGCCGCGUGUAUGAAGAAGGCCCUAGGGUUGUAAAGUACUUUCAGUCGGGAGGCGUUACCGACAGAAGAAGCACCGGCUAACUCCGUGCCAGCAGCCGCGGUAAUAC
rnacentral:rRNA from 1 species